rnacentral:rRNA from 1 species
UACGGAGGGAGCUAGCGUUGUUCGGAAUUACUGGGCGUAAAGCGCGCGUAGGCGGCUUUGUAAGUUAGAGGUGAAAGCCCGGAGCUCAACUCCGGAACUGCCUUUAAAGCUGCAUCGCUUGAAUCCGGGAGAGGUGAGUGGAAUUCCGAGUGUAGAGGUGAAAUUCGUAGAUAUUGGGAAGAACACCGGUGGCGAAGGCGGCCAUCUGGACCACAACUGACGCUGAGGCGCGAAAGCGUGGGGAGCAAACAGG